GUGAUAUCACUCGAGUUGUGCACAGCCAGGAGCCUCCCUGGGUGCUUUGUCAUCAGCUCAUGCUUAUGAAACGCUCUCGGGCGCUGCAGACAUGGAAGCACCCAGAAUUGCUGUGUUGGGUCCCUGCUUUUGGAACGUGUUGUUAGAGCUCUCCCAGCAGAAGGAAUCGUCAGGGACACAGCCGGUCUCAGGAAGAUGACGUUAUGCUGGAUCUCAUCCUCAAGUCUUUGCCAUCUGCCCUGAGAGUGGCCUGCAUUCAACUGGCAGAACUCUGUUUUAUUGACGCGGUGUGUUUUACAGAAGAAUGGCAGCUGUUUUAUUAUACCGUUGAAGUACUUCUGCUAUGGAAUAAUGGGAAACUGUAUCUUAAUUUUAACGGCUUCCUUUCAUGAGAAUGAAUAUUUUUUUCCCCUAAAUAAGCAUAAUGGCAAUGAAACAAAUGGAACAAGUGUAUGUAAAUGCCUGUUACGUGUGUGCUGCACGCUCUUGGAAGCCUUGAGUGGUGACUGCUAAACGCGCAUCCUGUGAUUGCUGCAGCAUUGACACUUCCGGCUCUGAUGUGUUACAUCUCUGGAGCAGGGAAACUUUUAUUAUGCUGGAGUGUGAAGUUGGGAUUAUAUAAAACAGGUAAAAUUUGUGGACCUGAUGUCAUUGAUAAGCAGCCGUUCUUUCAGCGCUAUAAACGUGCAUUGCCAUGAAGUGGUAUAGAAGGCCUAAGUGUAGAGCAAAUGCAGGAGGUAGAAGUGUGUAUAUAUGAAAUGCCUUUUCUGUGAAAUCCUUGACAAAGCUUGUGCCAGCUGUGUUUUCUGUCUAUUUGAUUAAAUGCAGUACAAGCCAUCAUCUUUGUGUUGGGAGUAAUGUAUUGGAAAAACUUCAGAGGAGUUGGCAUCCUGGAAGCUAAAGGCUGAAGGUGGCAAAACCAUUUAUCUGUGCUUAAGUACAGAUACAGGGCUUUCACUGACAGUGGCAGACUGGAGGCUGAAAAAACAAUUUUCCUCAAGGUUACAGCCCCCAGCACUGUUCCUAGGUGUGUAUUUAAUUGCAGCUUUAUUCUCCCCCCCACACACACACUCUUCCAAAUGCUCCGAGUAAGAGAUGCUGCUAACCCUGGAGACAGUAGUAUUUUUAAGAGAUGGAAUGCGUUGUGCAGGGAUGAAGAUAGCAUGACAAAUCUGUGUCAGUUUAACCAAAGGUGUAGUUUUUGUACAGGUGAUCCAGGUGAAAGGUUGUAAAACCUACUUAGUGUGUUUCUUUGUAACCACUUUUUUUUUUUUUUUAAAUUGGGACAAAAAUGUAAGAGUUUAACUAGAAAAGCUAGCUCUUGGGAAUGAGGUUUUCCUCUCUAAAUAAAAGCUGCUUUACUUUAUUUUGGGAGGUAGUUUUAGACUUGGUUUGCUGGGCUCAUUCAAAAUUAUUUAAUAACUUGAAGUUACUUGGUUUAUCUUAUGCUUUGAAUUAAUGUCUAGAAAUAAGUCUGGAUUUAUAUGGUUGGAGCUCAGAAAAUUAAGGUUAGCUAGCUAAUGAAGCACAGUUGGUGAAAGAUCAGUUAAAAUGCUUUAACCUUUAUGAAUGCACCGAAUGUGUUGCAUUACAUUUUGAUAUUUAUUUCACUGUAACUGUUUUGAAUAGGCCAAGUUCCAUCUCAAGUAGAUAACACCAUGUGGCUUCACCACUUUGUGGUUAGAAAGGUCAUCUUGGAUUGGGGUUUUCAAAUCACGAGGUUCUACUGUGUAGUGUUUGGGAAGAACUAGCGUGGAACAACUUUGGGUUUUUGUUUGCUUGUUUGUUUUAAACUAGAAUAAAAUUAUUUGGCAUCAGCUGAAAUUCGUCAUCAGUAAAAUUCUGCUUAGGAUUAGACAGUCGGAAGUUACAUUUGUACUGCAAAAUGAAUAUUAUUAAAAUGUAAAUGAUACUCCUGAAGUUGGUAGAUUUGCUACCUGUGUUCAAGUCCAGUGCUUACUGUGAAGGUCCUACUUCACAACUGGUCACGCUUGAUGAGAGUGGAAGACUAAAGAUUCCUUAGCUAGGAUGUUUAAGCUGCAGGAAUGUAAAGAUUUAUCUCCAUUAACUGGGCACCAUGCUUGUGAAGUGGGUUCCCAUUCGGCACAGAUCUUUAAAUGUGUGCUUUGGGAUGGGCGGAGGAAGGGGCUGUAAUCUCACUUAAGUAAUUUACGGAACUUUGGAGAUCAAUAUGCCAUUAGAUAGAUAGAUACUUGCAUACCUUACAAACAGACUCUUCUGUGCUGAAGGGUUUGGGUGGGAUAAUGCACUGGGUAAAAGGUUGUCUGGCUAGCAUUUUCUUUACGAUCAUUCCAGCUUUUAAAUAUUUGUUUUUUGAAAGCAAGCCAGUGCUUUUGAUAUUAUUCCCUAUGCGAAUAUCUCUUCUGCAAGAGAGCUGCUGUAGAAUUUUGUGAAAUGAGCUGCCUUCAACUGCCUGCAGUCAGUAAGCAGAGCCGUAGCAGCAAUGCCCUUCUUUGCAUUUAAGAAAAUGGGUAACCAAGGCAGGGGAAGGCUGCAAACAACUGUAGGAGCAGCUGCAGAAAGUGCAGCAGUGAAUUGCCUCCUGCCCAAGGCAUCUCUGUGGGCCCCCCCCUGCCCUGAGCACCUCAGCAGCUUGGCAGCAGCCCCUGCACCGGCUGGGCUACGCUGAGCUGAGGAGGGAAGGAGGGGACAGAGGUUCUACGCCCCGCGGAGCCAUGGUGACAGCUGCUAAAGGGGAGUGAAGAGGGGCAGAACCUGUGUGCAGUUCAGAUUAGGGUCUUGAUGUGCCAUCUCGGGUAAAUCUUUCUGUUGCAGAUAUUAAGGUUCUGCUGCUUUAAUUGUCUGUCCUGUGUUCUGCUGUAGCUCCCUCCCCUGUGCGUCAGAGCUGGCAGAUGGGAGCGUGUGUUCUGCACUCCACUGUUAGGUCUAUCUCAGCAUAGGCUGACUUUGCUAAUGUGCUGCAGCUUACAUUGAAACGUUUGAGUUACAGGUGUUCAUUUUCUCCUGUGACAGUGGUGAUGUAGCCAUCUGCCUGUAUAAUAUGCAGAAAAAACUAAACUAGCUGGGGUAAGAAGUGAGAACUGCUGUAAUAAUGUGUAUAUGUUUGCAGACAGCAGCACAUUCUUAAACAUAAUUCCUGUUAAAGCCAGCUUGACAGAAGUAGAGAGUAUUCAGCUAUAUUGAACUGAUCAAGCUGGAUAGUUUUGUGGACUUUCUGAGCUUGCAUUUAAUAUUUCAAUGGGAAGUAUUGGAGGUGUUUUUUGUUUUUUCUUUUUUUUUUUUUCCCCAGAAAAUCUUUAGUGGGUUUUUCAUGGGGUGCUGAUGAAAUGUAGUAGGCUGUGCUGAGCAAGCUGUUCAAAAAGCUAGUUAAAAUUAUGUUCACACGUUUAAGUUGGCAUCCAUACUUUUCUCAACCCUUUGUGAAACACUUUGGGACAAAGUUUAUUACUGAAAAGUGAGCCACACAGAGCACUGCAAGAUUCCAGACGGAAAGCUGAAGAGAAAUGAGAUGUUUUUUAUUAUUACUAUUGUUUUAAAUGUUAUUGAGAACCUUCUCAUCAAUAGCAAGCUUUGAUGUUAAAAUUUUGUGCAAAGGAACCCUUUGUUCUGACCUCCAUCCCUUUGAGAGACAUGGUACAGUAGACUUCUUCAAGGUUUCCUCUGGUUUUGCCCAAUACACUCGGUUAUUAUUUGUUCUAGUUUUAAGAAAAGGAGGAUUUCAGACUGCUUUGCAAAUGCUCUGACCCGGUGGAAGAGUGAUGAAACAGAAGUUUAAUCCUUUCCCGAGCAUCUGGACUCCAGAGCUGCAGUAGAACUGGGGGUGGGUACUGGCGUGCUGUAGGUCAGCUGGGUGGAAGGGGCAUGAAAGCUGUGCUGUGUGCUGCACUCAGCUGCUUUUAUGGGGAGCUUCCUCUGUGCCAUGCAGCUGGGCUGGCCAGGUGCUCAGUGCUUCAUCCUCUGCCAGCAGCAGCUUCGGGUUCCUGGUAAAUAGUAAAAAUGCUCUAAGGUAAUACUUCCCAGCCUUUGCUUGCCUGUCCAAGUAAUAAUGCCAGCCGGUACUGUAAGUCAGAUGACUGCAGACUUUUUCUCAUCUUAGACUUGGGCUUGCUGUGUUCUUUCAUUCAACAGUGUAGGAGGACCUCCUGAAUGAUGAUUUUCCAGAUGAGUGGUGCCCCCUAUUCUGUUGCAGCAGUUCGGGGUGGCAGCUGCAGUCUCUUCAUAAAUACACUUAUAAACACUGUUGUGUUUUUUUGUUGUUUCUGUCUUCUCCUAAAAACCCUUCUGAACAUCCGUGUUCUCUAGAUAGCUGAGACAAGUGCCAGAGCAUCUGAAGUUUACCUCAGUAACUACCUGGGAAUGUGUUUACAUCAUUGGCUCAAUAUGAGCAGAUGUACCUAAUUGUCUGGACAGUCAUCAUAGAACAGCCUGGGUUGAAAAGGACCACAGUGAUCAUCUAGUUUCAAUCCUCCUGCUAUGUCCUUAGUUCUGCCUCUGCCAUUUGCUGCUCUGAACAGAGAUCCAUUGUGGUUGUACACAACAGCGUAAGAUGCUAGCAGAAUUGUACAGCUCUAAAUAAGAUAGUGAAAGAAUUACCUCCACAAUGACACGCUGUCACAUUCAUGAAAUAUCCCCAUAAUGAUAUGUAUCUAUCAUUGGCUUUUGUGUGCGUCUGGGAAUUAAUGCAAAACAAGGAACAGUCAAAGUCAAAAGAGCUUUGUUAAAGGAGAGUUGAUUUUCACUUAGUUUAAAUAUUUAAAUUUUGGAACAGUCUUCCAGACUUCCUCUAAACAACAGAUGCACUGCACUCCACGUCUUGUGACAUUGUUCAUCGCAAUAUUAAUUUGAUGACUUUGUCAUGCAGUCCUCUUUUCCAUGCAUUUCUUGAGAACAAGGAGAAUUCUUGCAUUUUUAAUUGAGUGGAGACUUAGAGGUUAAGCACACGGUUAAGGCCACUUGCUAUUUCUGUAAAAUCCUGCUCCGUUCAUGGUCAUGCCCAAGGUUGUUAUUUGAUGAAGCCUGGUGAACUACUGGUGUGCUACUGUCACAUGGAUGUCAGAUACUUGUUGCUUCUUCUGGUGGGGGCCUUGAAUGCUGGGCAACAGGGUGGUGGGAGGCCCCACCUCAAAGCCCAGCAUCCAGCCAGUGUUGGUGUGAAAUUGUCUGUUGCCGUGCCAAAAUCUCAUUCCUGAGCAGUGCUGAUUGAAUCAUAGUGCCACACUUUGAAUGUAAGUUUUUUCCAAGUGCAUCAUUUUGAGUUUAUUUGCUGAAUUUAAUGUGCCCCUUCCUUCCCCAAUCAUCCAGUUUCGUUGUUUAGCUGGGCAUAGCCUGCUUCUCCCAUUGUGGCUGGCUUUCACUGCUGACCUUUGUCUGGGAAUGCUGCCCUGUAGUCCUGGGUCACAGAACAGAUGGUAGGUACGGUUCUCAGAGGAGAAAUCUGUGAAUAAAAAGCAUGACAAGUUUCAGGGUUCUAGUAGGAGAGAGCUUGGGAAAGGCAGAGGUAAAAUACCCAGUUAUUGCUGAACUAAGAGGUAGUUAACAGGUACUUUGCACUUAUCCUUCAGAACGUUUUAGUCUGUGUGCAUGGUUUUUUAGUAGUGCUGUUACUUUCAGGGAAUGGCAGCUGUUAACGCGUUUGAAUUCAAGUGAGUAAAGAGGUCAGAUUUUCUUCAUCUUUGGUAAGAUAGCUCUAUGGAUUUUGUUUACUUUGGAGUAAAAAAAGCAAUACUUCUGAGUCCAGAGCCCAACUGUAGGUGAGUUGCUGCCACCUUUUUCAAAGUUUGUUCUGAACGCCUUUAGUGAGUGACCUUUUUUCCCAUCAAUUUGCCAGUUUGCAGAGGUGAACUCUGGGAAAGUUUGGGGUAGAAUAGUGCCACUUCAGCUGCAGUAACAGUGAAAUUUGCUGGAAACCAUUACCUACAUUGUACACCUUCCAAACUUGAGAGCAGGUGAGAAGAGCUGUAGACAAUAGCCUCAUUCACCAGUGUCUCAGGUAGUGAAAGGUAGGUUCUUGAAAAAGAUAGCUUGUAGACAUUGGAGAAGUUGGUAUCACAGUCCAAGCACCCAGAGUGACUUUAUUAAACAUCAAUCUGGCAUCUCCUUCUUUGAUUCCUAGGUUUGAAGAUUGGGUAUUUCAGUGUCUAUUUUUUAAUAAGUCAUUUUGAUAUUGUUGCUAGAUAUUGUGCGAGCAGUGUGCAGUGGGUAAGCUGAAAGCUUUAAUAGUAAAAACUAAAGAGAGGGCAAGCAUGAAGAGUAGAACAUGCAAAACGAUGAUGAUGGGGAUUAUCACCACUGUUACGUUUCUGGAUGUGGUGCCUUGCGUUUCUUAGGAAGUACUCUGCUCUUCGGCCCUUGCUGUUUUCUGUAAACUUCAGCCUACAUCUUUAUUACGCGUUAUCAUUGUACUUAAUGAUAUUUUUUAAUCCUUAGUUUUAAAUGCUAGUCAAAUGGCCAGCUUGUUUAAAGCUGAUAAUUUUCUGCUGGUUAGACUUGUGACGUAUAUUGUACCAGAGUGUUCCUAUUCAGCCUAAAAAUCCAUGUUUUUCAAACUGUUAUUUUCUGCUUCCAAGUAUAGUUCAUUUUCAUGUUGAAAGGAAUGUUGUGAAUGCAGGUGUGUGGGAUAAAGCAGUAGUUCUUUGCUGGCUGACACUUCUUAAUCUUCAAACAGGCUUAAAUGUUCUUCCCCUCUGUUUAUAGCUGCUUCCAAUCCUUUCUUUUUUAAGCUGUUUUCAACAGUGAGCUAGUGACUAAAGACUAAUAGAGUGGUGAAUUUUUGGAUGCUCAGUGUUUGAACUGUUUAUGACAGACUGUAUUAGACAAACGCUGCGAUUAAUAAGUGCUACUUUUUGUUUGGCUUAAGUGAUGUUUUUGUUUGCUUGAUGUUGGUUUGUUGUUGUUGUUUUAAAUCUUCUGUUGUAAGUGAUUAUUACCUUUCCUUCCCUCUGAUGCAAUACAAAUUAGCAUCUAAAAACUUGCAGCAAAUCAUCCCUGUUCUUUCUUGACAGGACCAGAAAGCUGUCAGUUUAUGAUUUCAGCGAGUAAUUGUGUUGUAAACUGGUAUUAAAUUUAACUGUGCAUAUAUGGCUGAGAAGAUGAGUGAUGUUUUGCCACUCUGUAUUUAAGCUGUUACCAUCAUUAAAAAUAAAGCUCUGUCUGUUUCCAGCUUAAACUAGAAAAAUACAGCAGUGGAGCCACAGGGAGUGUGAGUUCUGAGAAGUGGGAAGCAAAGGGGCUGGCACUGACUGCCCAGUUUGGUUGCAUGUGGGAAGGCAGCUUUCUUAUGCAGCAAGCCGUCAUUUGCUACUGGCUUGGAUGCUUUUGUGAGAAGAGCAGCUUGUUGCCUUAAGUAUUUACCUUCACGGUCUUGCUUGUGCAUUUGGGUGAGGCAUCCUUGAUCAUUCUUUGAAUAUUCUUUGAAUUUUCCUCACCAUUUAGAUGACUUCUAUAAUCUUUUUGUAAGCAACUGGUGGAGAGGAAUUGUGUGAGGCUUCUUCAGAGCUUUUCUGUCAAUUUGUUUUUGAAAAGUGGUAUUCCUGUCAUUUAUUAUAUCACCUAGGAUCAUACUGCUGCAUUCACAGUCACGUGCCAGUGUUAUAGAUCUCCAAUAGAAGUGUAUGCCAUAAUUUUAUGCAAAACAAGCAGCUAGUUAAUGGUUUAAGUGUUUGGUUUAUUUUUUGGCUAAUUUUACUGAACUUAUAGAGAGAGGUUGUGAGAAUUUUCCAAUAAAAUUAUGGUUACUACAGCCUUAAUAUGAAACUGGCAGUAAACCACAGCAUGCGGUGUGGAAGCGGGGCUGUCUGUUGAUGUUGUCAUACUUCCACUUUUCCUUAACUUUUCCAAAACUGGUGCAAAGCUGUACCUAUAUGUCAUCCUGUACAUGCUACCACUGUCCUCUGGCAUGGGUGCUCGCUCCUUAAAUAGUGCUUAAACCUGCAAAAUGCUGUGUGACUAAUCUUCCCUGGGGAGGAGCAGGAGCUAUCACAACUUUAUAUUUGGAAACUGGGGCAGCAGUGGUGAUAUGCUGGAGCUACACCGGAAACCUGUGGCAGAGCCAGAGACUACAAGUCAUGGCUGUAAUUCAAGACUCAUCCUUUCCAAGUAGGUGUGCAGUGCACCCCUGAACCAGCUUCUGUGCAAAUGUUUCCACGUAAAGCCUUGGGAAUUGACUUCUUGGGAAAAUACCUAUUUUUUCCUAAGCCACCUGGAAAAUGAAAAAUAGAGCAGCUGGCUCCAGGAAAGCGUGGGUUCUGCAUUGGGUAUUUUAAAAACAGUUUGAGAUGUAACUUGGUGUAUACCUUAACAAAGGGAAGCACCACUGAAACUGGGUGUAAGCAAAAAGCUGCAGAGCUGUAGAUAGGCAGUGUAGCAGAAGGAAUGUGAACAUCAUAAAGCCCUUAUGCUUAGAGCAGCACUGGGGAACUUUUUUAGCAUUUUUGUAUUCUUAAAUAUUAAACACCACUUGAUAGGGUGAAACUUGAUGUGGCCAUAACUUAUUAGUGAGAAGUGGGUGAAAGCUGGGAAAAAAAUUUGGAGCUUUUAUCAGCCCCUGGCAAUUACCAAUCUUAGUUCUGCUUUUGGAAAUACUGUCAGAUGAAGCAUAUGCCUGUUGUGGAAUGGUUGGUCUCCGUGGCUGAGCUAAAGAGGAAGGUCAGUGUUGGGUCUGCUGAUGGAUUGCUAGAGAGAAGGCUCCUCCCUUUUCUGUACAAUUGCACUAAUGUGUCACAGCCGUAUGUCUGUGCCUGCCCAGUUUCUAGUUCUUCCAGUUCGCCCCUUGCAUUCAGCAGAGCUGUAGCUUUCAGAAGCAGGCACCUCUGAAAGUUAUGGAGAGAACUUUUUGUCCCGUUUUUAGAAAAAGCCCUCCCUCCUUUUGUGUAGCUGUGAGAUGUCACACACUACCAACUAGGCAAAUAUCAGCUUGGUGUUACUGGGAGCAGGAAGUACUGGCUGCUAUUGCUUGUAUCUGCCUCAGUUCUUCUCCAGCACUUACACUACUGAGACAAACAACUUCCUUCCCAAUUUUAUUCUUAUGACUGUGGUACCUAAGGGAUCAUGAAGAGAAUACAAGAAUGAGUGCUAGUUCUCUUGUAUUUCUGACUUCAGUCAGUAAAUCACUUGUUCUGUGGUGGAAAUACUGAGUAAUGUAUCAUGUUCCUAGCCUUAUCUCUACUUUGAAUUUCUUUGUUUAGCACAAUUAGGUUUUCUUGUACUUCAGUGUUCUGGGCCAGACAAAACUUGAGACCUUUAUGAAAAUCACUGCUUGCCUGUUCCCCAGACUCGUUUCCGUAGUUAAAAGGGCUAACUCUCUAUGGACCUGUAUUUUGAGUCUUCGAUUACUGGAGCGUGCAAACUCACAUGUUUCAGUUUGUAAAUUACUGAAGCCUUUUUUUCUUUCAUGAAGUUUUUACUGACACUUCUUAAAUACUUUUCUUACAUUUGCAGUCCUACUUACUUGCUUUUCCUAGGAAUUAUUGAUAUACUCAAAUUUCUCUACUGUGUUAAAAUGUACUUGUCAACUGCUUUUUAAGCUGAAUGUUUCUCUGAAGACAGUAGUACUUUUAGAAGAACUCUCUAGCCUAUUGUACGUACCUCUGGCUUUCCACUUGUAGGCUGAUCUUUUCUUGCCCUUCUUGUCUUCAUAAUUUCUAUAAACUUUGUGAAGAGUCAUUUCAUAGUUCUUAGACCCCAUAAUGGUUUUUCAGAAAUAGGAUCAUCUUCCCAGAUUAAAUCAAAUAAUGUAGUAGUAACAGCAUAAGUACAUUAAAAUAUAAUAAUAGUCUUUAUGUGUCUUCCUUUGCUACACUUUAUUUUAAGGGACAAAGUAGCCAGGGGAAUUUUUUUCCCGGAUAUCAUAAACAAUCAACUGAUCAUUUUUGUAAUUGGAAGGACAUCUAAAUGAGAAGUCAGCCUACUUACCAGGACUUCCUUUAUUUGCUAAGUGUAUGCUGAGGGGAAACCUGAAAAUUUAAAAAAAAAAAAAAAAAAAAAA